CCUACGGGAGGCAGCAGUGGGGAAUAUUGGACAAUGGGGGGAACCCUGAUCCAGCGACGCCGCGUGAGUGAAGAAGUAUUUCGGUAUGUAAAGCUCUAUCAGCAGGGAAGAAAAUGACGGUACCUGACUAAGAAGCCCCGGCUAACUACGUGCCAGCAGCCGCGGUAAUACGGAGGGGGCAAGCGUUAUCCGGAUUUACUGGGUGUAAAGGGAGCGUAGGCGGGGCAGCAAGACUGAUGUGAAAGGGCCGGGCGCAACCCCGGGACUGCAUAGGGAACUGGUGAACUUGAGUACGGGGGAGGAAGGCGGAAUUCGUAGUGUAGCGGUGAAAUGCGUAGAUAUGACGAAGAACCCC
rnacentral:rRNA from 1 species